GAAAUGCGAUAAGUAAUGUGAAUUGCAGAAUUCAGUGAAUCAUCGAAUCUUUGAACGCACAUUGCGCCUAUUAGUAUUCUAGUAGGCAUGCCUGUUCGAGCGUCAUUUCAACCCUCAAGCCCCCGGGCUUGUGUUGGGGACCUGCGGCUGCCCGCAGGCCCUGAAAACCAGUGGCGGGCUCGCUGUCACACCGAGCGUAGUAGCAAUCACCUCGCUCAGGGCGUGCUGCGGGUUCCGGCCGUUAAACAGCCUUACAAAACCCAAGGUUGACCUCGGAUCAGGUAGGAAGACCCGCUGAACUUAAGCA
rnacentral:misc_RNA from 1 species